UACGUAGGGGGCAAGCGUUGUCCGGAAUCAUUGGGCGUAAAGAGCGUGUAGGCGGUCCGGUAAGUCGGCUGUGAAAGUCCAGGGCUCAACCCUGGGAUGCCGGUCGAUACUGCCGGACUAGAGUUCGGAAGAGGCGAGUGGAAUUCCCGGUGUAGCGGUGAAAUGCGCAGAUAUCGGGAGGAACACCUAUGGCGAAGGCAGCUCGCUGGGACGUUACUGACGCUGAGACGCGAAAAGCGUGGGGAGCAAAACAGG
rnacentral:rRNA from 1 species